CUCUCGGAUCCAGAAAGCGUCGCUGGCUUGUGAUGAGCAGCUGAAGAGCUCCUCGCUCUCAAACUCACCCUCUGCACCAACACGCUCUCCUGCUGUCUGUCAGCAAAUAAUCAGCGGGUGACAGCCUUAUAAUUCUGCAGGGACAACGAGAUUCCGCUUCACAAUCGGAGUCACGGGCGCGUGUGAAUAUUGCAUCACCAGCGCUGCGCUGCUGCGGCUUCACGGAGUGAAAGAGAUUCCCGGGAUUUACUCCCUUCUGCAGGCCAUCGCCGCGGAACCACACGCUGUGUUGUUGUUUUUUUAGUGUUAAACCGACUUACGUAACAAACAAGCCUUCCUCGCUUUCUCCUACCACUGUCCAGCUUUCGCUGUCCUCAUCCGACGCAGGCCAAAAAAAACUGGCAAAAUGUCAAAACAUUUGUCUUCGUGAGGUUGACACUGUCCCUGCAGUGCUGUCAAAUCCCACCUUAAGAGCUCCAAUGCACCAAAGGGUAUCGAGUCCCCCGAGUAGUUAGAAACCAGGAGGUUCGUGUGGAAGAUCGGGUCCGGUUUUCUGAGGAAACAUUUUAUCCGCAAAUCCACACAAGAUUUCUCUCCUAAAACCACUGAAGCAUCACGUUCUGGAAAAUGAGUGCCACAAACUUUUAGCCUGACAGGCGUUGAUGAGCGGACGCACAGAGGGGCGUGCGGCAGUGACGGAUGUGUGUUUAAUUCGGCAUCCCGACUCCUCAUUUAACUCAAAGGUUGACUAUUGAUGACGGGGGUCGAUCACACCCGAGGUCCAGGUCAAGCUUUUGGCUCAUUAUUUGGGUUUUCCGACCCCGUAUCUUCACUUUUUACGCCUCGCCCUCGCUGCUCUCAUCUGUACUCUAACAAGCUAAAGAUGGACGCGAGGAGGCAUUUAGCAGGUCACGGGACGGUUUUGUUCCUGCGGAGGGGGUGGAGACCAAAAACGGAGCUAAUAGAAAUAUGAUUUGUAAUUUGGUGUUAUUCAAAGACUAAAUAUAUUGA